UGGUGAAUCGGGAUUUUUAAAUGAAGUGGGUUUGAAUACUCUUGACUUUUUUGUGAAAUCGAGUUACGUCUGUGAUUGAAGGAUUAAAAGGGUGUCUAUAGGAUUGAGUAUGCGGAGUGAAUGAAAUUUAUUGGGUUAAUCUAACAAGACCGUCAGUGGAUACAAGAUCGUAAGUACAAAGCAGUAUUGAAGGUUAACAGUUUGGGUUGUACGGGGUUCUCUGUAACGUCUAGGGACCAACCGGCUGGGGCAAAAAGGACUCCGACAAGUAGUCAAAGAGCACCCGUAUAGAUUUACGGUACAUUGUUGCAGUCGUUUAUAUUCCAGCAGUCAAAAACUGAUAGACUGCUUGACUAUCGGCGAAUCUCCAUACUACCUUCUACAGCCAGACGCCCGGCGCGUUCUCGAGCAGGAAAGCACGUAAUACGACACCGGUAGAUUUAAACGAUAUGCAAUUGGAUUGAUUUGUGUAGAAAUAGAAAAUGGUCCCGGCCUUCGUUAGUCCAACUUGUCACAAGGACGAGUGGUCUUGAUAUUGCGAUGAAGUAGCCAUACCUUAUCACCCAAGACGAAUGAUGGUUGUUCCUUUCGAUAGACAUUCGCAUUGGCCUUUUUGUUGUUCUUGAGCCUCUUUUAACUGCGCCUUCAUCGUUGCAUGUAGCUCUGAUAAAUGAAUUGCCAAAUCAUUCACAGCAGGAUUAUCAACUUUUGAAAAGUCAAAAGUAUCAAGUCGUGGAUGAUAACCAUAAUUAGCAAAGAAAGGUAUUUGUUUUGUAGAAGAAUGUACUGUGUUAUUGUAAGCAAACUCUGCCAAUGGCAAAAGAGUUGUCCAAUCAUCUUGUUGGUAAUUAAUGGUACAUCUUAAAUAUUGCUCCAAAACUUGAUUAACACGCUCCGUUUGUCCAUUGGUUUGAGGAUGGAAUACCAAAGAUAGUUUUAUAUCCACUUUAAGAAUCUUGAAAAGAGUUCGCCAAAAUCUUGAUACAAAUUGAAUUCCCAUAUCUGAUAUAAUAUCCUUGGGUAAUCCAUGAUAGCGAUAGAUAUUGUCAAGAAAGAGCUUAGCUGUUUCUUCACCUGUGAUAGAUUUUGUACAUGGUACAAAAUGUGCCAUCUUGAUAAAAUGAUCUACUAUCACAAAUAUAAAGUCAUAAGAACCUGAGAUUGGAAGAUCCGUGAUGAAGUCUAUAGAAACAGAAGACCAUGGUUGUUCUGGAAUGGGUAAUGGCUAAAGAAGUCCAAAAGAUCGAUGACGAGGAGUUUUCGAUCUUGAGCAAAUUUUACAUGAUUGUACAAAAUCUUUAACUGCCUUCCACAUUUGAGGCUACCAGAAAUCCCUAGAUAUCAGCUCCAAAGUCUUAUUAUAUCUGAAAUGUCCUGCUGCUGGGAAGUCGUGACGAGCUUGAAGAACACGUAAACGAGCUUCUCCUUCUGGAACAUAUAGGCGUCCUUCGAAAUAGAGUAGGUUGUUCUUGAAUUCAAAUUUAGAUGGAUCAUGAGAUUUAGAAGAAUUGUUCUUGAUAUCAUGAACAAGAGGGUCUGAAGACAUACUUAACUGGACUUGCUAAAGGAAAGUUAAAUCAACAGUCAAUGUUGAUUUUAUUGCUCGAAGAUGAAAUUAUUCCGGCUUCAAGAGAACCGUUCUUUGUUGCUCAAAAGUUGCAUCUCCUUCUUUUGGUGCAAGAUAAGAACGUCUAGACAAGGCAUCGGAUAAACCUUGUUGUUUUCCUGGCCGAUAAGUGAUGAUGAACUCGAAUCUCGAUAAAGACAUGCUCCAACGAGCUUGGCGAUGAUUUAAUACGCGUGCUGACAUAAAAUAUUCGAGGUUCUUGUGAUCUGUAUAUACGAUGACUUCACUAGAAGCGCCUUCUAGAUAAUGACCCCAUUCUUGAAAAGAAUCCACAAUUACAAGAAGUUCUUUGUCGUGGAUCUCAUAAUUGAUUUCUGCUGCUGAGAAUUUUCUUGAAGGAAAGGCUACUGGAUGAAGUUUAUCAUCUGUUCCCAUUUGUGAUAAAAUCGCACCCAGAGCAAAGUCUGAUGCAACUAUUUCUAUAAAGAAUGCUUUGGAAAAAUCAACACGAUACAAGAUUGGUGCAGAAACAAACGCUGUCUUUAAAGAUUCAAAAGCAACUUCCACUUCUUAAUUCCAUUGGAGUUUGUCUUUACAAGUCAAACGUGUAAGUGGAGCUGCUACUCGAGAGAAGUCUUUGAUGAAGAUGCGAUAGUAGUUGGCAAAUCCCAAAAAAUAUUGGACAUCUCUUACCGUUUUUGGGAUCUUCCAGUCUAUAAUAAUUUAAACUUUCUUAGGAUCCAUCAUAAGUCCAUCAUUUGAAAUGAUGUAACCUAAGAAAUCGACUUGAGUAGUGUGGAAUACACACUUUUCUAUCUUGGCAUAGAGUCCUGCAUCUCUUAAUUUUUGUAACACACGACGAACAUGAAGUUCAUGUUCUUUUGGAUUCUUAGAAUAGAUCAAGAUGUCGUCUAGAUAACAUACCACAAAAUCGUCCAAAAACUCUCAAAAAACAUCAUUCAUUAGAUGCUGAAAAGCUGCUGGUGCAUUUGUAAGUCCAAAAGGCAUGACGUUGUAUUCAAAAUGUCCAUACCUAGUUCGAAAUGCAGUCUUUCAUUCAUCUCCUUCCUUGAUGCGUACUAGAUUGUAUGCUCCUGGAAGAUCUAUUUUUGUAUAGAUCUUAGCUUGAUUCAGUUGAUCAAGAAGUCCGGAUAUUGAAGGUAGUGGAUACCUGUUUUUGAUGGUAAUCUUGUUGAGUCCUCGAUAAUCAACACACAUCCGCAAUGAUCCAUCUUUUUCUUCACAAAUAGAAUUGGAGCUCCUACCGGAGAUUUAAAAUGGUGUAUGAAAUUCUUGGCUAGAUUUUCUUCAAUAUACUCCUUGAGUUCAGCCAACUCAUUUUGUGAUAAACUAUAGAUUGGUCCGAAUGGCGGUUGUGCUCCUUCUUGAAGGUCAAUUGAAAAAUCAUAGAGACGAUGUUUCAGGAGUGUAUCCGCAUUCUUUUUUUCAAAUACAUCUUGAAAUUCUUGAUAUUGGCUUGGAAUGCCACUUGAAGUCUUUUCACUAGUAGAAAUGGGUGUAGCAUAAAUAAUGUAUGGUAAUUCUUUCAUAGCAGCAUGCAAGAAAGCUUUUGCACCUAUAAAUAUGGGUUUAAUUGAACUAGACUUAUGACUCUCUACUUGCUUAACUACACUAUUAGUUAUACUUUCAGAGAAAGUGAGAGUUCGGAAAAUCCAGUCUAUUUGAGGGUUGUAUUUUUCUAACCAUGAUAAACCUAAAAUGACUAGGUUAGAAGGAGAUCUUAUAAUAUUAAAUACUACAAAACUAUUAUGACUAUUGAUUAUUACUUCUAUAGGAAGGGUUUCGUGAGUAAUAUCUCUAGAAGACAAUGGACGACCAUCUAUGACUUCUACAUGAACAGGUUUAGUUUUCUUUACUAAAGAUAUGCUAUGUCUUUUAGUAAAUUCUUCAUCUAAAAAACACGCUGAGGCUCCUGAAUCUAACAAGGCAGAGACUUUGUAAUGUUUAGGUCCUAAAAUAACAUUUAAUGUAAAACAAGGAGAGGGCUCUGAGGAGAGAAUAGGACCUUUAUUAGAAGUUGUGCAAGGUUCCAGCCGCACGGUUCCUAUUGUAGCUGGACAAACUUGUUUUCCGACAUAUUAUCUUCUUUCACAUCCAUACUCCUCAUUUUGUGAUUGCAUCAUUUCUUUGGACAAUGCUGAGCAGUGUGCUUUGGUUCUCCACAAUAUAAACAUAAUCCUUCUUGACGACGACGAGUCUUUUCUUGCUCAUUAAGAGGUUUGAAACGUACUACAUCAAUUUAUAUAUCCUCUACUUCCGAAUGUAUGUGUUGAAGAGGUGUUGGUGUUGCCAUUGAAUUAUAGUAACGUUGAGGUCCACUUGUACGGUUCUCAGAUCGGAAUUCAAAAAGACGAUUGUCGCACUUCACAGCAAAGUCAAUUGCUUGACUCAAUGUUUUAGGAUCAGGUAAGUUGAGUAUUAAUUUUUUUUACCUCAUAUUGUAAUCCGUAGAGAAAUUGGCUAAUAAGUGCAGCAUCAUCCCACUUGAUAUCAGUUGCAAGUUGUCAAAAUUAUGAAGCAUAUAACGUUACUGAUCGAUUGCCUUGUCGUAAAAUAUGGAUCUUAUUGGUUGCAACACGAAUUACAUCAUGUUCACCAUACAUGGAUCAAAAUUCUACCAAAAAAGCUUCUAGAUUAUCUAAUAUUAGAUCUCGUCGUUCAAAAAAAGAUGAAAACCACGAUAGUGCCGAACUUGAAAGAUGUGUACCAAUGAAUUUAACUUGUGAUCUUGGAGUUGGAUAGCUUUGAGAUUGAAGUUCAAUCACAAGUUGCACUAAAUUGAUAAAUCCUCGAAACUUGGAUCUGGUGCCAUCAAACUUCUCAGGUAGGGUAAUUCUUGGUUCUCUAACAUUUGAAGGGCGUUCCACCAUAGGAGAAAGGACAUGGUUUGGUGCAGAUGUUGAAGCAGCUCCAACCAUUUCUAUAUCUUCACUUCCUGCCAAUCUUGUUGCUCCUUGUGGUGGUAAAUUGAGUUGAUGCAUCGCAAGUAUUAACUCCCUCAAUUGCUCUUGCAUUUGUGCCAUUUCACUCUUCAUUUCAAGAAGUUCUGCCAUGAUAAUACUUAGAAGAAAGAAGAUGUCUAAUAUCGCUCAAGACAAAUAGAAGAGAGGACUUGCGGACAAAGAAAAUACAAAGGACAAUAUCAGUUUAGAAGAGGAUAAUCCGCAACUUCUAAUACGCUUAUAUCUUAUCAAGAAAAAGGGAUAAUCCACUCUUAAUCAAGAUUAGACAAAGCUCUGAUAAUGUAGGUGUAGUCUUGUCAAUCUGUCAAGGACAAGAACUCGAUGAAAAAAUAAUUCAAACAAGUGAGCCUUCACUCAAAGAGAGGUAACAAAAUAUAUAUAAACAACUAUAUAUAUUGAAAGAAAAACUGGAAUGGCUAUUCUCAAAAGAUGUUACGGACACAAAAUACAGACUUGAAAUCUAACAAGAAGUUCAAGAAGAAGUGGCAGAACUAGAUUAAACAGAUGAGUACAAGAACAACACCAGAAAGGUGAGCUAGAACUCGAAGAGAUGUGUUGUCGAGACUGAAGAACCCUUCAGCCUCGACUCCUAUAUAUACUACUGAAUAGGAAGCUUCUCGAGCUACUUCCGCUAACUAGGACGCUUCUCCAACAACUUCUACUAAUUAGGAAACUUCUCGAGCAACUUCCUAGAAUCUAUCAGAAUAUUUUAGAACCUUCUAAGAAUAUUCUAAAACCUUCUAAGAGAAUCUUUAGGGAAUAUUCUAAGAAUCUUCUAGAACCUUCUAAAGAAAUCUUUAGAGAAUCUUUAGAGAAUAUUCUAGAAGAAUAUUUGAAGAAUCUUCCAAUGUAUGUCCAUGACAUCACCUCUUCUUCUAACUUCGAGGUCUCCGAGAAGCAAUGUUGUUAUCAGUCAAUACCAACGCAAGAAAAUGAAAAUCUGUCGCAUCACAUCCGCUAUGAAUUCCAAUUGUUGUUCGCGAGGCAAAUGAUUCAUCGGCCCUUGGAGCCAACGGUAGUGACCAACACCUUCAACCUCUGACCAAGCGUGGACUUCUGUGUCUUCAUUGUGAAACUGUCCUCCAAACACACCUUCUGGCUGACCGUCAUAGGCAGGCUCGACCUCAAAUACAAUUACUAGCGAUCUGUUGCUCGGUAUCCUCCGACGUCGUCGUGGUGCAGGCGGUUCUUCAUCUCGCGGUCGUCUUCGUGAGCUAGUCGCUUGAGAUGACAUAACAAGUGUAGUAUCUUGACUAUCCAUGUCCAAAGGCUAAAAUGAUGAGAGCAAACUAUAGUUGCUAACAAAGUUCUACACUAUCGAACUAUGGGUUUUGGAGGUGCCCUCCCCCCUUUUUAUGCUACUUGAUGAGCAAGCUUCAGCAAGAAGCUAUCGUUGAAUCGGCUUAGGUUUAUGAGGAUAUCGUUGAUGAAAUUCUUGUACCUUUUUUGGUGCAUUGGCAAGAUUUUCGGCACGCUCCCACGUUUGUUCAUUGAUGUCGUAUCCACUCCAAUGCACUAAAUACUCCAAUUUUCUCCUAUUACGUCGUGAAUCUAGUACCUUUUCCACCUCGUAUUCCUCAUGGUUUUCAAUUUCGAUACUUGGUGGCGGACUUUGUACUCUUUGGAAAAAAGCUGGCUCUCGAUAAGGUUCCAACAAAGACACGUGAAAGACUGGAUGUACCUUCAUAGUAGCUGGUAACUCCAGACGAUAUGCCGUCGGAUUGAUCUGCUUCUCGAUAACAAAUGGCCCUAAUCUCCGAUAGUCCAAUUUGUCAUAUGGCCGCUUGGUCUUGAUAUUCCGUCGAAGAAGCCAUACUUUACUUCCAACUUUAAAAGUAGGCGCCUCAUUUCGAUAUUUAUCUGCAGAUGCCUUGUAACUCUCUUGGGCAGAUUGCAAUUGAAGCUUCAACGUCGCUUGAAGCUCCGAUAGUUGCUUCACAAAUCCUUCAGCUGCUGGGUUGUUAUUUGCUGAAGAACUCAAUAAAUCGAGCUUGGGGUGGUAUCCGUAGUUGGAGAAGAAUGGUGUUUGUUGAGUUGAUGCAUGAAGAGUGUUGUUGUAUGCGAACUCAGCAAGCGGUAGAUAUGCAGUCCAAUCAUCUUGUUGAUAGUUGAUGCUGCAUCGUAAAUAUUGCUCCAAAACUUGAUUCACCCGCUGUCGUGUUGUAACACGAUUAUACAGUGAAAAUAAAAAGAAAGGGGAAUUUUAUUAAUAUUCAGUUACCUCGAAUAUUGGAAGCAUCGACCAACUCUAGUACAAAUACUGAGUGGUCAGGUUUAGUCACUCCGUUACAGUCAGCCGGGGCAUACUGAAAUGCUCCAUUCAAUUCCAAUAACGGGAGUCAACAGGAAGAGAAGGACCAAUUCAUAAGACGGGUUCGAGGAGCCAAUUGGAUCCAAUUUCUAUAAUCCAAUCCGGGUCCUCUUAUCCAAUAUGAGACCUGAAUUGGCCGGUCAACCCAGUGCAGUCUAAUUACGGGAAAUCCAGGUCUUACUACGGGUCUUAGCCAAUCUGACGCGAGGACCAAUUUGACCCAAUUACGGGAACAUCCAAGUUACUACGGGCAUCUUUCCCAAUAUAGGACCUGAAUUGGUCGGGCGACUCAAUGUGGUCCCGAUUACGGGGUUCGAUUCUGUUUCAGGCUGUCCUGUUCUCUGUGCCGUCUUAGGGAACGUUGUUUUCGGUAAAUGGAUUUCUUAAAGGCAAAAACGGAGGAGAAAGCUUGACGGCGAGAGCCAAUUUCGGAUCCAAGCUUGAGGUGGGAGCCAAUUCCGGAUCUAAGACGGAAGAUUGAAGAAAUUCAGAGGAUAAGGUUAGGUGGGAUAUAGUUUUGGGGUGGGGUUUUUUUUUUAAGGGAAGAUCAAGGGAAUUGGAGAGAGGAGCUUCAUGCUUCGGGUCGGGGAAGGAAAGACAGAGAAUUUGGAUUUUUCUUCUUCGUAGAGUUUUGAAAAGACUGAGGCAAUCGCUGCUGAAGUCAGUGUUGUAAUGGUGAAUCGAGAUUUUUAAAUGAAGUGGGUUUGAAUACUCUUGACUGUUUUGUGAAAUCGAGUUACGUCUGUGAUUAAAGGAUUAAAGGGGUGUCUAUAGGAUUGAGUAUGCGGAGUGAAUGAAAUUUAUUGAAUUAAUCUAACAAGACAGUCAGUGGAUACAAGAUCGUAAGUACAAAGGGGUAUUGAAGAUUAAUAGUUUGGGUUGUUCGGGGUUCUCUGUAACGUCUAGAGACCUAUCGGCUGGGACAAAAAGGACUUCGACAAGCAGUCGAAGAGCACCCGUAUAGAUUUACUGUACAUUGUUGCAAUCGUUUAUAUUCCAGCAGUCAAAAACUGAUAGACUGCAUGACUAUCGGCGAAUCUCCAUACUACCUUCUACAGCCAGACGCCCGGCGCGUUCUCGAGCAGGAAAGCACGUAAUACGACAUAAGUGGUGAACCCGACGUGAAAGCUUGAGGUGGAAGGUAUUGGAUUUCGAUUGAUUUUAUCUUUAUUUUUAUGGAAAACGAAAAUAAAAAUUUUGAAGGGUUUUUGGGAGAAGUUUCUGGUGGGGAGUCUUCUAAAGGACAAGGUAUGCACAUGGAUCCGUCUAUUGCUAGUUUGUUUCAAGCCUUCUCAUUGUCAAUGGAGCAACAGCAAAGCAAUGAUCGAAAGGAAGCUCUGGCAACCAAAGCAUUGCAAGCAGUGGUCAAUAAAAUUGAUCAAUUUGAUGGGAGGAAUAUUUCAAGGUAUUUAAGAUGUUAUGUUCGUGAAAUGGAAUUAAAUCGGGUUUCUGAGAAAAAAAUGGUUGCACUAUUUGGACUUGCCACGAUACCGGAGAUAAGGGACCACAUUACAUCGAUUACGGAUCGUUAUGGGAAUUCAUGGGAGGAUUUUUCACAUGCAUUGAAAGACAAAUAUUUCUUGGAAGAUGCUGAUCGCGUUACUAAGAAGCUGUUUCUGGGAUGGAUUGAACGGCCCAAUAAGAAUUUGCAAGCAACAGAGCUACUAAGGGAAUUUGAGAGGCAGUACUCUCAAUUAUCGAAGGUAGAAAAAUUGACAUUGGAGCCGAACAAAGUUGAUCUAUUUCUUCAAGCUGCUGAUGGAGAAUUGCAAGAGAAAUUAGAACCCCUUCUUGAAGACAAAGAAGAAGAUGAAGGAUUGACAAUGAAGUGGAAGAACGUUGUCGUGUUGUAACACGAGUAUACAGUGAAAAUAAAAAGAAAGGGGAAUUUUAUUAAUAUUCAGUUAUCUCGAAUAUUGGGAGCAUCGACCAACUCCAGUACAAAUACUGAGUGGUCAGGUUCAGUGACUCCGUUACAGUCAGCCGGGGCAUACUGGAAUGCCCCGUUCGAUUCCAGUAAUGGGAGUCAGCACGAAGAGAAGGACCAAUUCACACGACGGGUUUGAGGAGCCAAUUGGAUCCAAUUUCGAGAAUCCAAUCCGGGUCCUCUUACCCAAUAUGAGACCUGUAUUGGUGGGGCAACCCAAUGCAGUCUAGUUACGGAAAAUCCAGGUUACUACGGGCAUCUUUCCCAAUAUAGGACCUGAAUUGGUCGGGCGACUCAAUGUGGUCCCGAUUACGGGGUUCGAUUCUGUUUCAGGCUAUCCUGUUCUCUGUGCCGUCUCAGGGAACGUUGUUUUCGGAAAAUGGAUUUCUUAAAGGUAAAAACGGAGGAGAAAGCUUGAGGUGGGAGCCAAUUUCGGAUCCAAGCUUGAGGUGGGAGCCAAUUCCGGAUCUAAGACGGAAGAUUGAAGAAAUUCAGAGGAUAAGGUUAAGGGGGAUAUAGUUUUGGAGUGGUGUGGAUUUUUAUUUUUGGGGGAUGGGAGGUUUUUGAAGAUCAAGGGAAUUAGAGAGGGGAGCUUCAUGCUUCGGGUCGGGGAAGAAAGACAUAGGAUUUGGAUUUUUCUUCUUCGUAGAGUUUUGGGGAAGACUGAGGCAAUCGCUACUGAAGUCAGUGUUGUAAUGGUGAAUCGGGAUUUUUAAAUGAAGUGGGUUUGAAUACUCUUGACUGUUUUGUGAAAUCAAGUUACGUCUGUGAUUGAAGGAUUAAAAGGGUGUCUAUAGGAUUGAGUAUGCGGAGUGAAUGAAAUUUAUUGGGUUAAUCUAACAAGACAGUCAGUGGAUACAAGAUCGUAAGUACAAAGCAG
rnacentral:lncRNA from 1 species